GUGGGGAAUAUUGGACAAUGGGGGGAACCCUGAUCCAGCCAUGCCGCGUGUGUGAAGAAGGCCUUUUGGUUGUAAAGCACUUUAAGCGAGGAGGAGGCUCUUCUAGUUAAUACCUAGGAUGAGUGGACGUUACUCGCAGAAUAAGCACCGGCUAACUCUGUGCCAGCAGCCGCGGUAAUACAGAGGGUGCGAGCGUUAAUCGGAUUUACUGGGCGUAAAGCGUACGUAGGCGGCUUUUUAAGUCGGAUGUGAAAUCCCUGAGCUUAACUUAGGAAUUGCAUUCGAUACUGGGAAGCUAGAGUAUGGGAGAGGAUGGUAGAAUUCCAGGUGUAGCGGUGAAAUGCGUAGAGAUCUGGAGGAAUACCGAUGGCGAAGGCAGCCUCCUGGGAUGACACUGACGCUCAUGCACGAAAGCGUGGGGAGCAAACAGGAUUAGAUACCCGAGUAGUCC
rnacentral:rRNA from 1 species